UUUCAGUCCGUCUUCAAGAACUUUGACACAGAUGGCGAUGGCAAUAUCUCCAGGGAUGAAUUUGAAGCAAUCAGGAACAACUUUCCAUACCUCAGCAAGUUUGGAGAACUGGACAAGAACCAAGACGGGAAGAUCAGCAGGGAGGAGAUGAUAGACUACUUUAUGAAAGCCAGCUCUCUGCUGAACUGCAAGAUGGGUUUCAUCCACACUUUUACCGAGACCACCUAUGUCAAGCCCACGUUCUGUGAACACUGUGCUGGCUUUAUCUGGGGAUUUUACAAGCAAGGCUACAAAUGUAAAGGUAAGAGAGGAAUUCG